ACCGGGGCCUUUUUGUCCGGACGCGGCGGGAGCGCGCUCAGCGCGUGCGUACGCGGCGGCGUUUGGCAGCGAGCUACCGCUGUGAAGUGAGGCGAGGCGAGGCGGCUCCGGACCCACGGACCGACAGACCGAGCGGCCCCUUCGGCCGUCGGCGGCCAGGCGGCCAGAGAUGUUGUCUGGGAAGAAGGCCGCGGCGGCCGCGGCGGCAGCAGCAGCGGCGGCGGCGGGGACUGAGGCCGGCCCCGGGGCAGCGGGCGGCGCAGAGAACGGCUCCGAGGUGGCCGCGCCGCCCGCGGGCCUGUCGGGCCCUGCCGAGGCCGGGCCGGGGGUGGCCGGGGAGCGCACUCCCCGCAAGAAAGAGCCUCCGCGGGCCUCGCCCCCCGGGGGACUGGCCGAGCCGCCGGGGUCCGCCGGGCCUCAAGCCGGGCCUACGGUCGUCCCUGGAUCUGCGACCCCCAUGGAAACGGGAAUCGCGGAGACUCCGGAGGGGCGACGGACCAGCCGGCGCAAGCGAGCGAAGGUAGAGUACAGAGAGAUGGAUGAAAGCUUGGCCAACCUCUCAGAAGAUGAGUAUUAUUCAGAAGAAGAGAGAAAUGCUAAAGCAGAAAAAGAAAAGAAGCUUCCCCCACCACCCCCUCAAGCCCCACCAGAGGAGGAAAAUGAAAGUGAGCCUGAAGAACCAUCUGGGCAAGCAGGAGGACUUCAAGACGACAGUUCUGGAGGGUAUGGAGACGGCCAAGCAUCAGGUGUGGAGGGUGCAGCUUUCCAGAGUAGACUUCCUCAUGACCGGAUGACUUCUCAAGAAGCAGCCUGUUUUCCAGAUAUCAUCAGUGGACCGCAACAGACCCAGAAGGUUUUUCUGUUCAUUAGAAACCGCACAUUGCAGUUGUGGUUGGAUAAUCCAAAGAUUCAGCUGACCUUUGAGGCUACCCUUCAACAAUUAGAAGCACCUUACAACAGUGAUACUGUGCUUGUCCACCGAGUUCACAGUUAUUUAGAGCGUCACGGUCUGAUCAACUUCGGCAUCUAUAAGAGGAUAAAACCCCUACCAACUAAAAAGACAGGAAAGGUAAUUAUUAUAGGCUCUGGGGUCUCAGGCUUGGCAGCAGCUCGUCAAUUACAAAGUUUCGGAAUGGAUGUCACACUUCUGGAAGCCAGGGAUCGAGUGGGUGGACGAGUUGCUACAUUUCGCAAAGGAAACUAUGUAGCUGAUCUUGGAGCUAUGGUAGUGACAGGUCUUGGAGGGAAUCCCAUGGCUGUGGUCAGCAAACAAGUAAAUAUGGAAUUGGCCAAGAUCAAGCAAAAAUGCCCACUUUAUGAAGCCAAUGGACAAGCUGUUCCUAAAGAGAAAGAUGAAAUGGUAGAGCAAGAGUUUAACCGGUUGCUAGAAGCUACGUCUUACCUUAGUCAUCAGCUAGACUUCAAUGUCCUCAAUAAUAAGCCUGUGUCCCUUGGCCAGGCAUUGGAAGUUGUCAUUCAGUUGCAAGAAAAGCAUGUCAAAGAUGAGCAAAUUGAACAUUGGAAGAAGAUAGUGAAGACUCAGGAGGAGUUGAAAGAACUUCUUAAUAAGAUGGUAAAUUUGAAAGAGAAAAUUAAAGAACUCCAUCAGCAAUACAAAGAAGCAUCUGAGGUCAAGCCACCCAGAGAUAUCACUGCCGAGUUCUUAGUGAAAAGCAAACACAGGGAUCUGACUGCCCUGUGCAAGGAAUAUGAUGAAUUAACUGAAACACAAGGAAAGUUAGAAGAAAAACUUCAAGAAUUGGAAGCCAAUCCCCCAAGUGACGUGUAUCUCUCAUCAAGAGACAGACAAAUACUUGAUUGGCAUUUUGCAAAUCUUGAAUUUGCUAAUGCCACACCUCUCUCUACACUCUCCCUUAAACAUUGGGAUCAGGAUGACGACUUUGAGUUUACUGGCAGCCACCUGACAGUGAGGAAUGGCUACUCCUGUGUACCUGUGGCUUUAGCGGAAGGCCUGGACAUUAAAUUGAACACAGCGGUGCGGCAGGUUCGCUACACGGCUUCGGGAUGUGAGGUGAUCGCUGUGAAUACCCGCUCCACAAGCCAGACCUUUAUUUAUAAGUGUGAUGCAGUUCUCUGUACCCUCCCCUUGGGUGUGCUGAAGCAGCAGCCCCCAGCUGUUCAGUUCGUGCCGCCUCUUCCUGAGUGGAAAACAUCUGCAGUCCAAAGGAUGGGAUUUGGCAACCUUAACAAGGUAGUACUGUGUUUUGACCGUGUGUUCUGGGAUCCAAGUGUCAAUUUGUUUGGGCAUGUUGGCAGUACGACGGCCAGCAGGGGUGAGCUCUUCCUCUUCUGGAACCUCUAUAAAGAUUUCAGAGUGCCCCGAAUAAUGUGGGGCCUGAUAAAGAAGUUCUUGAGAGAAGUCUGUACGAGAACCCUGGACUGUUCUUCCUGUUUCUCCAGCCCCAAUACUGUUGGCACUAGUGGCAGGGGAAGCUGCCGGCAUCAUGGAAAACAUAAGUGAUGAUGUGAUUGUCGGCCGAUGCCUGGCCAUCCUCAAAGGGAUUUUUGGCAGCAGUGCGGUGCCCCAGCCCAAGGAGACUGUGGUAUCUCGCUGGCGUGCUGAUCCCUGGGCCCGGGGCUCCUAUUCAUAUGUAGCUGCAGGAUCAUCUGGAAAUGACUAUGAUUUAAUGGCUCAGCCAAUCACUCCUGGCCCCUCAAUUCCAGGUGCUCCACAGCCAAUUCCACGACUCUUCUUUGCUGGAGAACAUACAAUCCGUAACUACCCAGCCACUGUCCAUGGCGCUCUGCUGAGUGGGCUGCGAGAAGCAGGAAGGAUUGCAGACCAGUUCCUGGGGGCCAUGUACACCCUGCCUCGCCAGGCCACACCAGGCGUCCCUGCACAGCAGUCCCCAAGCAUGUGAGACUGAUGGGCUCUGAGGGAAGCAAUGUGCAAGUCUUUUGCUGUGUAAGCAGAGCUUUUAUAGCAAUACUGGAUUUCACUGAGAAACUCACUCUGGCAUCUGGGCUCCAAUCAGCUGUUGGAACUCAUGCUGCCAGGUGUGGCCUCCUUUGAGGGACUUAGCGCUAGAGAGGCAGUUGUCCGUUAGUGCGGAAGUCGGUGUUCUUCCUAAAGACUGAGGUAAGCAAGCCUCGUGAGAGGACAUCUUAGUCUCUUGGUGUGUGGUUUUUUAUAUUUUAAAAAUAAAGCUUCAUAUAAAAUU